rnacentral:lncRNA from 9 species
CUGCGCCUGAGGCUUGCUCAGUGUGGUGGUGCAAAUGGGCCCUUCAACGUGACUCUGCGGCGAAUCGCACAAAGAUUUUGGCAAGAGAAAAUCUAUAUGGCAAGAACAAUGGGAGAACCAGAGAUUGAAGGGAGAGCAUCUGCCAAGAAAUAGAAUCUAUCAAGAUCAACCGAAUUGCAAUUGGAGUGCCCUAGUAGGAGAGAUUGUGAACCCCUGAAAAGCACAUAUAAGAGAAAGGAGGCUAUCAGCGAUGGUACAUUAAAGCCUUGAACAAAAAAUCACUUAAGUGCUU